GGCCCAGCCCAGGCUAGUGCAGUGGACUAUCGAACACCACGUCGGGCAGAAUGGAGACUUUCAGCUUCUUUUCAGGCCAGCUGUACUCUUUGGGAAGUUUGAACUGUGGAGGGAGCAAGCACAGAGCCAGAGUGCACACAGUUAGCAGAACUUACUGCCUUCUUUCCAGGCUGCCUAAAGAGAGGCCAGGGCCCUCACCCAUGCUCUGUCCCCCAGGUGCUGGGGGCAAGAGAGGCCACUGGUUGCCUGGCUUCAACUGCAAAUGCUAUUCCCAGGUGGGUGGCUGGGGUCAAGCUGCUGGAGUUCGGUGACCCCUUCUUUCCCCUUGCCCUGCCAAUAAUUAACUGGGGUUGGAGGAGGCAUGUUUUCUAACUCUUUCUUGACUGUGCUGACCUCCCUCCAGCUCACUUCCUUGGUUCUGCCUCCGGCCACAAGCAUGUAAGGAAUCUGCUCCCUGAGGCCCUGGGGCUGGGGGGAUGGGGGGCAGGGGGAGGGUGCAGAUGAUACAGGGAAGUGGCUUGAGGUCUGGAACUUUGUGGUCCUGUCCCUGCCAUGGCUUCUCUUCCAGAGGCUGGUGCAGAAGGACCCUGGAACCUGCCCUCUGUGGCCUUGGCCAAAGGGUCCAAAGGGAAGGAGGCCCUGGCUUGGCCUCAGUGGGAGCAGGGGAGCAGGACAAGGGUGGCUGGAGGUGAUUUCUUGGGCCUGGUGCAUCCCCAUCCUGCUCUCCUUGAUUCAAGCUCAUCUGUUACCCAGGGUUACCAGCCUGAGCAUGGUGCCAGCGGAAGCCAAAGAGAGUCCAAGUUCUUCCUACCCCAGCCCAGGAGUCACGGAUUUGCUUACAGUUUUGUUUCUCCAGCUUCUGUUUGGGGUAGGGGAAAGAGGCUGAUACAUCUUAUUCCCUCUCCAGGACCUUGCAUGUGGUCUGGUACACAGCUGGUGCUCACUAGAUGCUCACUGACUUGGAAACUGGGUCUGCUGUUUAUGUCUCCUACUGUCCCAGGGCUAGGUGAGAAGUCAGCCCAGCCUGGAAAGGUGGGAAGAACAGGGCCCUCAGCCUGCCUAGAGCUGGGGCUGGAAGUGGACGGGCCUAAUACUUCCUGGCUGGCCGCCUCUCCCUCCCUCUGAUGGGGGACUUGUCCAAGCCAGGACCAAAGUGAGUGGAGAGUGGGGCAGGAUGUGGGGACAGCCUCUGGACAGAGAAGCAAAAAAAAAAAAAAAAGUCAUUUUUAGUGACCUACUUUCCUAAGCUCCCCCUGGCUCCUGUCCCUCCUGCCUGGACUGUCCCCCUCCUACCCCUUCAACACCCAAGCUCAAAGCAGCAGUCUGGCACGGUGCCAUCCUAGUGCGACACGGCCUCUCCGGAAGCACUUCUGGGCAGCUGGCUCUGGUCUGAGUGAAUAGGAGCCAGGCCUCAGGGACCGGUGACUUGUGGGGGUUGACUGGCUGGCGCAGACGGGGUGCUUGGUGACUUUGGAAUGUAUAAAUGAGUUAAUUUAUCAAGCCACAUCCCAGAGGGCAGAGGUGACCUCAGGUUCUGAGGAGUUCCUGUCCACCUGGGGACCUGGAUAGGACAGUCUCACCCCGUGUUCUCUCCUCCACCUGGUGGACAUCAGAGGCCACCAUGUCCUGGCUGAUACGGCCCUGGGAGCCCUGGCAGCUGUAAACUCCAGCCCUGGCUGAAAUCUAGCCCCUGCAUGGCCUCCCUCUGGCUUGAAAGCCUGGCUGCUGGGAGGUGAAGGAGUUCUCCCCCAAACACACUUCCCGGCAGAAAGGCCAAAGAAGCAUCUGUCUGUCUCUCGCAUAGGCGCAUAGGCAGAGGAGGGCCCUCCAGAGGCCUGGCUAGGUUGCUAAUGUUCCACUAACCUAUGGGGCAUUGAGGCCAGGAAGGCUCAGAUCCCACUGGGGUGCAGCUUAGUAGGAGGCCGGGGGAGGGGACGGGACUUUCCAGGAUGAGGUAAGUCCCUGCAAAUGAGGAUGCCAGGAACAAGGAAGAAAAACAAAGGGGAUUAUGGGCUCCAUUCAUGUACCCCAGAUGAGUAGCCAGGGAAGGCACAAGCCCCCACCUGGCCUGCCAGCUCCUCCUGCUGGAAGAGGCAGACCAAGAAGCGAGAGCCCAUGGCUGGAGAAGGAAGGAGGCUGGCUCCUGGGUGGCCUGAGGCGAGAGCAGGAGUCCCUUACUGCCCACCAGAACUCCCCAGUGGAAUGUUCUCUGGCAGCAGGCGUGGGCUUUCUGUUCAGAACCUGCCAGGGAACAGCAGGGGCUGAGGAGAACCACUAGCCCAAAGGCCCUGGCUGCCUCUUCAAUGAGGUUCUCGGAGCCACCAAUUUGGACAAUUUGCUGGGUGUCCUUAUGGCAGCUGGGGUGGGGCAGGGGGUGGUGGGAAGACAGACAUAAAGCCGUUUAACAUCUCCAGGGUCUCCUGUCCAGCCUAUCCCCACACCUUGGAGACAGACAGACAGAAAGACACACACAGGCUCCCUCCUGGAGACUGGAAGCCGCUGUUAGAGAGAAUCAAACAGGCUUACUUCCUCUGGAGAAGUCAAAUCUUCUAAGUCCUCCAACAUUUUCUCUACAAACUCUUCAGUCAACAGAAUCUGGGAAGAAGGCACAAGACAGGCUUUUAUUAUUAUUUCUUAAUAUAUGGUCUUUUUGCCAACUGCCAAGCUGUGGCUCUUUCUUCUGGCCACGGAGGAGAUAUGAGCCCGUGGUGGAUCUGUUCUAGGGACAGAGGGAAGUGCUGGAAGCCUAUCCCUGACUGUCAUUUCCCCCCAACUCCCACCAGCCUGCCAUAUCAGAGGGACGAGGACAGUGAAGGAGGGCUGUCACAGGACAACGGGGAAGCAAGGUGUGGGUACGUGGGAGAAUGGUACUGCCGGUCCCCAGAAGGGACAAAGGAAUGGGCAGGAAAAUAGCCUGUUUGGCAGUUCGGGCCCCCUGCACGCGGUAGUGCAGCAGAGAGGAAACAGAAAAGCUGAUGGCUGGGGAACAGAGAUUGCCAACCAUCCUCCGUGCCCAACUGGGCUCACAUGUUCCUCUUUACCCCCCACUUGGUAGGACAAAAGGAAUCUGUUUGGAUUUGGAAUACAAGCCUCGUCUGGAAUCUAGAAAUGCCCCAGAAGGUACAUCCAAGAAUGUGUAAGCCGGAGAAUUUGCAGAUUGUGCACCAAUCUCUCUCAUUUUGCAGAUGGGAAAGGGGCUCUCAACCCGUUUCCCUCCGCAGUAUCCACAUCUCAAGCUGGAAGCUCCCAAACCCCUGCCCUGCUGGGCUCACUCAGCCACUGAGCUCUCCAAAGCUUCCUUCGAGAAACCUCUCCUCCAAGUCACCUCCCAGCUGUCCCACUUCACUGCUCUAGUCUGAUGCCUUGUCACUUCAUGCUUUGAUGUUCAGGACAGCCUGGCCCCACUACUCAGCUGGCACAACCACUACCCUCACAGGCCUUCUUCAAGCUGGUGGGCCAUUUCCCCAGCUGGCUCAGGCUGGCUCUGCAGAGCUAGGCCAAGCUCACACCAGGCCUGCACCACAAUGGGCCCAGGCUGAGGAUGUCUUUCCUCUUCCCAACCUGACUCUUUCCUCCACCCUUUUCCUUCCUGUGCUGGUCCAGGAGCCUCCUGGUCUCCACACCUGACCCUUCCCUACCCUCCAGGCUGUGGGUCCACCUGCCUCUGUUCUGCCUCCUCCAGCAAACUCUGAACACCUUGGGUGAGGCACAGAGGAAGAAGGACAAUGGGGUGAAGACCAAGACCUGGAGCUGAGAAUGGUAACAGAUCUUAUCCACAGGACACUGGAGAUAGACAACUGUGACGGAGCAGCUCCUGGGCGCUCUCAUGAGCAACAGACUCGCCGUUGUGAUGCAACUGUGGGAAAAGCCUGCGAUGCUACGCUUGGGGCUCUUGAAGCUCACUGGGUCCCUGUGGAGCUGCCUGGCUCUGCCACAAAUGAAAACAGGAUGGUUAUGAAGACAGUGGCAAUGAUAACACCACCAGUGGCAGAAGCAGUGGUGCCUCCUCCAUGUGCGGGGCACUGGGCUAAGCGCUUGACUGGUAUCGUUUCACGGAACCCUCCCGGCAGUCCCGCAAAGGUGGUAACUAUCACCCCCAUUUUGCAGACGAGCCGGUGUCGAGAGGAGACAAGGCUCCUGGACUUUAGAACAGUGAUCUGACCUCAUGGUGGUAGAGGAUACUCUUUUUCCUGUCUGGAGAAAAUACCUCAAUUCUAGAAGCCUUGUUUACUCACGGCUAACUCUUCUCUCUCUCCUCUGAAAGGGGAGGUAAAGGUGACUUUGGCUUCUACCGAUGGCCUGGAAAACCAGCCGUCCUAACCCCAGCCAGACCUAUAUCUCCUCGAGAAGAACAACCCCGAUUAGCUCAAGACGGCUGAGUACCAUAGACACCCAGCUGCUCAAAAAUUGAGUUGGCCAACUGGAAGGAAGGCAAACCAUGCCCAAAGAUGGUUUCCAAGUGGGAACAGCAAGGCAAAUUUCCAGGCCAGCUUAGUGAAUGCAUACAUAAGGGAACAUUUACUCUAACCCAGAAAAGAGCAGUAGAAAUAAUAGUAAUAAUACUGAAAAUAACAACAGCACUCAGUAACACGUGGUCCCCAUGAGCUGGGCAUAAAAUGCUUAGGUUUCUGUAUAACCAGCCCUUGGAGGCAGGAGGCUCUCUGGUGAGAGGAGAAAGCUCCCACCAACCAAUCUGAACAGCAAACUCCCCUGGCAAGCUUCUGAAAAUAUGAAGAUGCCAUCCAGACUUUCAGUAUUGGAAUAUCCUGGCAAGGCCAAGGCAUCUGCACUUUUGAGGCACCCCAGGGGAUCAUGGGAAAUACCCAGGCUCACAGGGGAAGGGGGUUUGGGCGCAGGCUUAACCAACAGGGGUGAGUUGGUGGCUGCAGCUUCAACACCUUCUAUUUGGCCAAGAUGUGAGGGGAGCAGUGGCUCCUUGCUCCCCACUACCAACCCCCACUGUUGGUCAGAAAGGGGGCUUGGAAUCCAGAUGGCAGCUUACUCCAAGUGCUCACACCAGGUGCCUUAGGACAACCUGGCUGGCUGGUGAUGAGGGAUGGUUGUCAAUAAUCUCCCAAUUCCCCAAGCCCCAGCAAGGUCCACAAGGAACCCAAAAAGUGAUCUUUCAUGGGGCCUGCCCUGGGCAGGCCCUGCUGUGCCGCAGACAGGAGCCCAGCUGCUGCAGAUCUGAUUCAAACGUCUGUGGUUGGUGCUAUUUCUGAGUCUGCAAACAGCGUUGACAAUGCCCACUCCUUCCCCUUGAUACGACAAUCCACACUUUGUCCGGGGCCCUGUUUGCUCUUCGUGUUGACACGUUGUUCUUGCUUCCCAACAAGUUUGGCUUUCUUCUUCCCUCUCUUUCCUUCUCUCGGAGGCGGAAAUGUGUUGUUUACAGGGUAAGGCCUGCCAAGGAGCUGCUCUGGCACCCACAAUGGCCAAGGAGGAGGCAGGACGAGGAAGCAGUCCGGUCUGUGUCCACCCCCCUCCCCAGACUCCAACAGGCCAGACGAAAGCCGGAAAACAGCCUGGAGACCCCCCAGGCUUGGGGGCAGAGGUGUGUGUGGCACACACUCAUUUCCUGUUCUCAGUGGGUGGUGAGAAGUUGGCUUUGGUGGCCAGGAGCAGGCUCAGAGCCCUCCUGCUCUGGUUGCCGGCUUGUGAGGGCAGAGUGGGCCAUCACAGUCUUCUCCUAAAGGGAGGGUGCUGUACUCCCCAGGCACAGUGCUAGGUUUUAAACCCUGAUGGGUGUACCCUGGGACAGUGAGGUCCCAGGAUGGCAAACGUCUCCAGGGAGAACAGGUUGUGGCCAGGUUUACCAGAAGAAGGAGAAACAGUAGAGGCACGGGAGAGGAGCUGCCCAGGGCCUGGGCCAGGGACUGCCAAGUGUCUUCCACACAACGUCCAAAUGGGUGGAUGAGGACAGAAGGCGGGGGCUUGUCCAGAGGACAGUGGUGAGUCAGCCACUGGGCUAGGAUGAGAGCCCAGUAGUGAUUCCCAAACUUGGCCUGGAGCGGCGAGCCCACUCGGAACAACAGCUGGGCAUCGUGUCCUGAGGCCGGAGCCUCCCAUCAGGGCUGGCAGGAACGGCUGGGAAUGGGGGCUCCACUUGGGUGAGCUAUCAGACACCACACAGCUGAGAAAGCAUUGCAGGGCCUAAAAAAAUAUUCUCAUAUUUGGUGAUAUGACCUCCAUGUGACCUCUGGGGCUGACUUCUCCCCCCUUCAGAUCAACCCUGGCUGGGGAUAGAUGAACGACUCAGUUCUGGGCUGGGCUCCUGCUCAGAAGACUAACAACCCAAUGUUGACAGCCUCAAGGGAGAGAGGCUUGUUAAAGCUACCGGGAUGUGGAAUGCUGGGGGAAGGUGUGCAAGAGAGGAUGCUGGCAGGCCUCCCCCAGGGCCUGGAGACCCUCCUGAAAAGCUCUGGAGCUGGCUGACAGGCUUUACAAUCUCCACGAGGAUGAAAACAGCAGAUGGUAGGGCAGAUGGAGUCAAGGUGUUGACCUCCGGAAACUGAGAAGCCUAUGGAAUUGGUGCAGGAUUCCUGACUCUCCAGCUCCUCCAGGAAGCAGGGAGUGUCCACUGAGCUCACCCUGGGGUUGCAGACGGCCCUGCCUUUCUCUGGGCUGGGGCCUUGACUUUCCUGCAGCUGGAGAGUGGGGGAAGGGGAGGAGCAUAGAGGGUAGGUGCAGGCCCAGGAGAAGGUGGGUGUGGAGGCCUGUGUGGGGCCACUCUGCACACUCCAGUGAGGGCCCAGAUUCCCUCACCUUCUGCCUUUUCCUCUCAGCCUCUCCUUUGUCACUCUUCCCCCAUGUGGGGUGUCUUUGCCAUGCCUUUUCCCCAAGAGAUAACAGGCCCGGGCUGGUAGCCAGAACAAGGUGCCAAGGCUGGGAGCAGGGCUUCCAAGGCUGUUGAGGCUGAUGUAAGAAAGUCAUCCCAGCCCCUCCCCAUUCAGCUGGGAUCAACAGGGAGAGUUCAAGCAGCAGCCAAGAAAACAGAAGUCUAGAGCUCUUCAUGUUCUUGGGCCUGCCGCAUUCAGCUCCUUCCUGCUCCUCUGUCCCUAACAGGCCUGGCACACAGAGGCCAACGAGACACCCCAGAUCCUGGGAGCACGCGCAAGAGAUGCCUGCAGGGGGGGCUGUCCUCUCUGUGUUGGGGAACUCCCUCCAGAGGGGCUUGGGGCCCUUCUUGGUCCAGUGGAGAGGCCCCUCUUUGGUAAUGAGCCUAAUCCCAGACCUCCAAGAGGUCCUGCAGACUCCUGGGGAGACAACCAACCCCAGAGGGAGCCCCAGAGGCCCACAAGUAAUUACAAGCCCAGGUUCCCACAAGCUAGGCAGCUGCCUGUGACCACAGUGGCAAGACCCUAAAGGAGAAGGUGAACUGGCAGUCAGAUGCAGAAAGUGCUGACUGCUUUGAGGGCAGGGAGGAGAGCUGUUUGGGUGUUGGCUCCAUGGCUGAGGACUGGCGGAUGGAGAGUGGGGGGUACGGGCAGAGGGUUUCCCAGGGCUCCUUAGGCCUGAGAAUCCCCUUGGUGAGUGAGGGUGCAGGCUUGGGGAAUGGGGCCCCAGCCAGCCUUCCUAGGAGCUCCCCUGUGAGCUGGCCCGUGCUGGACCACACUAAUGAGCCCAUAACACAGGCCUUUGAUUAAGCAGCUCCCCAGCACAGCAACUUUAUUGAAACAUGCCGAGGCUAGCGGCUGGUUCCCACCGCUCCGGUUCCCUGGGCAACAGUGCAUGGGAGGGGCCAUGCCCAGUGCUUCAGCUCCCUUGAGGGGGCUGCCCCAGGGUGAGGGGAGUGGGGCUGGGAGUACAACGCCAGUAGCCCGUGGAUAAGCGGUUGGAUUCAGAACUCUGGGGGCCCUGAGGGGCAUCAUGACAUCUGCUGAGUCCUCUGGGGGCUGGGGCUCCUAGGCUGAUGAGAAUGGAGAUGCUGACCAACCCCUCCUCAGGGUGAGAAGACUUUCUAAGGGGGAUGGCAAGACUCUAAGGACAGGUUCAGAGUUGAAGAUGUAAAACGUACUGGGGGUAAUUUCUUGAGUUUGGGGAGACCCUGGUCCCUACUUUCCCAAGAAAAUGUGCUUGAACCUCCAAUACACACAAAUGCCAUCUGAGGACACUUCUGAGACCUGUCAGCACAGUCAUCUACUGGGAAUGAUGACCUGUUAACCCUUCUGCUGGGUCCCCACCUCCCCCUUCCUUACCAGCAAGAGGCAGCCUUGCUUCCUGGGACAUAGCUGGGGUGGGGCGGUGGGGGGCAGGGAGGCCCUUUCCACUUGUGCUGGGCUAGUUUCAAAUGUUACACUUCAGAGCUUUUGCUACAGUAACUACCAACACCACAUGGACAGAAAUCUAAUGUUACCAAGUGGGACUUUUAAAAUGUAUUUAUAACUUUAUGGUUCAAAGUAAUUUUGUUAUGAAACAAUGUAAUAACAACAGUGGAAAAAGGCAAGAUAAUUUAUGGAACACAA